UACGGAGGGGGUUAGCGUUGUUCGGAAUUACUGGGCGUAAAGCGCACGUAGGCGGAUUAGAAAGUUGGGGGUGAAAUCCCAGGGCUCAACCCUGGAACUGCCUCCAAAACUACUAGUCUAGAGUUCGAGAGAGGUGAGUGGAAUUCCGAGUGUAGAGGUGAAAUUCGUAGAUAUUCGGAGGAACACCAGUGGCGAAGGCGGCUCACUGGCUCGAUACUGACGCUGAGGUGCGAAAGCGUGGGGAGCAAACAGG
rnacentral:rRNA from 1 species